UGUUUCCGAAUAUUCUGAAGAACGGCUCGGAAGUGAAUGGCGGCCUGCCGCAGGUGGGGUCGCUGGACGUCCACCUGAAGCGGUUCCAGGAGGACCUGGAACGAUCCGUGCCAGACGUCAACUUCAGCGGCGUGGGGGUGAUCGACUUCGAGGGCUGGACGCCCUGGUUCGCCGCGCUGGCGAGUCCACUCAAGCAGGCGGCGCUACAGCUGGUGAGGCGGCAGCACCCGCAAUGGACGGACACCCGCGUCGCCGAACAGGCUCGGGAGGACUUUGAGUGGUGGGCUCGCCUGUUCCUUCAGCAGACGCUGGAGGCGGCCGAGCGUGCCCGGCCGGCCGC